GCAUAUCAAUAAGCGGAGGAAAAGAAACUAACUAGGAUUCCCUUAGUAACGGCGAGUGAACCGGGAUGAGCUCAAAUUUGAAAUCUGGCGUCUUUCAGGCGUCCGAGUUGUAAUCUAUAGAGGCGUUUUCCGCGCCGGACCGCGUCCAAGUCUCUUGGAAUAGAGUAUCAAAGAGGGUGACAAUCCCGUACUUGACGCGACAACCGGUGCUCUGUGAUACGUUCUCAAUGAGUCGAGUUGUUUGGGAAUGCAGCUCUAAAUGGGUGGUAAAUUCCAUCUAAGGCUAAAUAUUGGCGAGAGACCGAUAGCGAACAAGUACCGUGAGGGAAAGAUGAAAAGCACUUUGGAAAGAGAGUUAAACAGCACGUGAAAUUGUUAAAAGGGAAACGAUUGAAGUCAGUCGUGUGGGAAGUAUUCAGCCGUCUCUGGCGGUGUAUUUGCUUCUCACGGGUCAACAUCAGUUUGAUCCGGUAGAAAAAGGCGGGAAGAAGGUGGCACCCUCGGGUGUGUUAUAGCUUCCUGUCAUAUGUGCCGGACCAGACUGAGGAACGCAGCUUGCAGCAAUGCCGGGGUUCGCCCACGUACAAGCUAGGAUGUGAC
rnacentral:rRNA from 1 species